rnacentral:rRNA from 1 species
GAUGAACGCUGGCGGCGUGCCUAAUACAUGCAAGUCGAGCGAACGGACGAGAAGCUUGCUUUUCUGAUGUUAGCGGCGGACGGGUGAGUAACACGUGGAUAACCUACCUAUAAGACUGGGAUAACUUCGGGAAACCGGAGCUAAUACCGGGUAAUAUUUUGAACCGCAUGGUUCAAAAGUGAAAGACGGUCUUGCUGUCACUUAUAGAUGGAUCCGCGCUGCAUUAGCUAGUUGGUAAGGUAACGGCUUACCAAGGCAACGAUGCAUAGCCGACCUGAGAGGGUGAUCGGCCACACUGGAACUGAGACACGGUCCAGACUCCUACGGGAGGCAGCAGUAGGGAAUCUUCCGCAAUGGGCGAAAGCCUGACGGAGCAACGCCGCGUGAGUGAUGAAGGUCUUCGGAUCGUAAAACUCUGUUAUUAGGGAAGAACAUAUGUGUAAGUAACUGUGCACAUCUUGACGGUACCUAAUCAGAAAGCCACGGCUAACUACGUG